rnacentral:rRNA from 1 species
GACGAACGCUGGCGGCGUGCUUAACACAUGCAAGUCGAACGGAAAGGCCCUGCUUUUGUGGGGUGCUCGAGUGGCGAACGGGUGAGUAACACGUGAGUAACCUGCCCUUGACUUUGGGAUAACUUCAGGAAACUGGGGCUAAUACCGGAUAGGAGCUCCUGCUGCAUGGUGGGGGUUGGAAAGUUUCGGCGGUUGUGGAUGGACUCGCGGCUUAUCAGCUUGUUGGUUGGGUAGUGGCUUACCCAGGCUUUGACGGGUAGCCGGCCUGAGAGGGGGACCGCAGUCAUUGGGACUGAGAUACGGACCAGACGCCUACGGGAGGCAGUAGUGGGGAAUAUUGCACAACGGGCGGAAGCGUGAUGCAGCAACGCCGCGUGCGGGAUGAAGGCCUUCGGGUUGUAAACCGCUUUCGCCUGUGACGAAGCGGGAGUGACGGUAAUGGGUAAAGAAGCACCGGCUAACUACGUG